rnacentral:rRNA from 1 species
AGGACGAACGCUGGCGGCGUGCUUAACACAUGCAAGUCGAGCGGAAAGGCCCUUCGGGGUACUCGAGCGGCGAACGGGUGAGUAACACGUGAGUAACCUGCCCCUAGCUCUGGGAUAGCUCCGGGAAACCGGGAUUAAUACCAGAUACGACCACUUUAGACAUCUGUCGUGGUGGAAAGGAUUCCGGCUAGGGAUGGGCUCGCGGCCUAUCAGCUUGUUGGUGGGGUAACGCCUACCAAGGCGACGACGGUAGCCGGCCUGAGAGGGCGACCGGCCACACCUGGGACUGAGACACGGCCCAGACUCCUACGGGAGGCAGCAGUGGGGAUAUUGCGCAAUGGGCGAAAGCCUGACGCAGCGACGCCGCGUGGGGGAUGAAGGCCUUCGGGUUGUAAACCCCUUUCAGCAGGGACGAAGCGAAAGUGACGGUACCUGCAGAAGAAGCGCCGGCUAACUACGCGCCAGCAGCCGC